rnacentral:rRNA from 1 species
CAGUAGCCGCGGGAAUACAGAGGGUGCGAGCGUUAAUCGGAUUUACUGGGCGUAAAGCGUGCGUAGGCGGCUUCUUAAGUCGGAUGUGAAAUCCCUGAGCUUAACUUAGGAAUUGCAUUCGAUACUGGGAAGCUAGAGUAUGGGAGAGGAUGGUAGAAUUCCAGGUGUAGCGGUGAAAUGCGUAGAGAUCUGGAGGAAUACCGAUGGCGAAGCCAGCCAUCUGGCCUAAUACUGACGCUGAGGUACGAAAGCAUGGGGAGCAAACAGGAUUAGAUAACCCAGUAGUCCCUGUCUCUUAUAC